rnacentral:lncRNA from 10 species
UUUGUUCAUCAAAUCUAAGAGUUUUUUAAUAAAAGUAUUUAGGGUUUUGUAGGUAUAAGAUUAUAUCAUCAGUGAACAGAGAUAUUGUGUUGGUGCAAAAGUAAUUGUGGCAAAUGGCAAAAAUUGCAAUUACUUUUGCACCAACCCAAUAGUUUGACUUCUUGUUUUCCAAUUUGGAUGCUGAUAUAGUUUGGAUGUUUGUUCCUUCCAAGUCUCAUAUUGAAAUGUAAUCCUCAAUGAUAGAGGUGGGGUUUCUGAAGACUUCACCAGAAGCAGGUGCUGGAGCCAUGCUGAUACAGCCUUCAGAACUCUGAACCAAUUAUACCUCUUUUCUUUAUAAAUUACCCAGUUUCAGGUAUUUAUAGCAAUGCAAGAAUGGCCUAACAGAAAACUGGUAUCAGGAGUGGGGCAUCGCUAUAAAGAUACCUGAAAAUGUGGAAGCAACUUUCAACUGGGUAAUGGGCGGAGGUUGGAAGAGUUUAGAGGGCUCAGAAGACAGGAAGAUAAGGGAAAGUUUGGAACUUCUCAGAGACUGGUUCAAUGGUUGUGACCAAAAUACUGGUACCCAAGACUGGGUAAUUUGUAAAAAAAAGAGGUUUAAUUGACUCACCAUUCAGCAUGGCUGGGGAGGCCUCCGAAACUUACAAUCAUGGUGGAAGGGGAAGCAAACACGUCCUUCAUCACAUGGUGGCAGGAAGGAGAAUGAGAAUUCAGCAAAGGGGGAAGCUCCUUAUACAACCAUGAGACCUUGUGAGCACUAACUCACUAUUAUGAGAACAGGAUGGGGGAAACUGCCCCCAUGAUUCAAUUAUCUCCAGGUUCCUCCCAUGACACGUGGGAACUAAAAUUCAAGAUGAGAGUUAGGUGAGGACAUAGCCAAACUGUAUCAUUCCACCCCUCACCCCUCCUAAAUCUCAUGUCCUCACAUUUCAAAACCGAAUCAUGCCCUUCCAAUAGUCCCCCAAAGUCUUAACCCAUUUCAGAGUUAACUCAAAAGUCCGAGUCCAAAGUGUCAUCUGAGACAACACGAGUAAGUCCCUUUUGCCUAUGAGCCUGUAAAAUCAAAAGGAAGUUAGUUACUUCCUAGAUAGAAUGUGGGUACAGGCAUUGAGUAAAUACACCCAUUCCAAGUGGGAGAAGUUGGCCAAAACAAAGGGGUUACAGGCCCCAUGCAAGUCUGAAAUCCAAUAGGGCAGUCAUUAAACCUUAAAGUUCCAAAAUAAUCUCCUUUGACUUCAUGUCUCAUAUUCAGGUCAGGGUGAUGCAAGAGGUGGGCUCCCACAGCCUUGGGAAGGUCUGCCCCUGUGGUUUUGCAGGGUAAAGCCCCCCUCCUGGCUGCUUUCAUGGGCUGGCAUUGAGUGUGCAAGCUGCUGGUGGAUCUGCCAUUCUGGGAUCUGGAGGACUGUGGCCCUCUCCACACAGCUUCAUUAGGGAGUGUCCUGGGGGGACCCUGUGUGGGGUCUCUGGCCCCACAUUUCCCUUCUGCACUGCCCUAGCAAAGGUUUUCCCUGAGAACUCCACCCCUGCAGCAAACUUCUACCUGGACAUCCAGGCAUUUCCAUACAUCUUCUGAAAUCUAGGUGGAGGUUCCCAAACCUCAAUUCUUGACUUCUGUGCACCCCCAGGCCCAACACCAUAUGUAUGCCACCAAGACUUGGGGCUUGCACCCUCUGAAGCAAUGGCCUGAGCUCCACAUUAGCCCCGUGUAGCCAUGGCCAAGACACACGGCACCAAGUCCCUAGACUGCACAUAGCAUCAAGGCCCUAGGCCUGGCCCACAAAACCGUUUUUUUCUUCUAGUCCUCUGAGCCUGUGAUGGGAGAGCCUGCAGUGAAGACCUCUUACAUGCCCUGGAGACAUUUUCCCCGUUUCCUUGGUGAUUAACAUUUGGCUCCUCGUUACUUAUGCAUAUUUCUGUAGCCAGCUUGAAUUUCUCCUCAGAAAGUGGGUUUUUCUUUUUUAUUGCAUUGUCAGGCUGCAAAUUUUCUGAACUUUUAUGCUCUGCUUCCCUUUUAAACGUAAGUUCCAAUUCCAAACCAUAUCUUCAUGAAUACAUAAAACUGAAUGCUUUUAACAGCACCCGAGUUACCUUUUGAAUGCUUUGCUUCUUGGAAAUUCCUUCCACCAGAUGCCCUAAAUCAUCUCUCUCAAGUUCAAAGUUCCACAGAUCUCUAGGGCAGGGGCAAAAUGCUGCCAGUCUCUUUGCUAAAACAUAGCAAGAGUCACUUUUACUCCAGUUCCCAACAAAUUCCUCAUCUCUUUCUGAGACCACUUCAGCCUGGACUUCAUUGUCCAUAUCACUAUAGCAUUUUGAUCAAAGCCAUUCAACAAGCCUCCAGGCAAUUCCAAACUUUCCCACAUCUUCCUGUCUUCUUCUGAACCCUCCACACUGUCCCAACUUCUGCCUGUUACCCAGUUCCAAACUCGCUUCCACAUUUUUGGAUAUCUUUACAGUAGUGCCCCACUCUCAGGUACCAAUUUACUGUAUUAGUCUGUUUUCAUGCUGCUAAUAAAGACAUAUCUGAGACUGGAUAAUCUAUAAAGGAAGGAGGUUUAAUUGACUCACAGUUCUGUAUGGCUAGGGAAGCCUCAGGAAACUUACAAUUAUGGCAGAAGGGGAAGAAAACAUGUCCUUCUUCACAUGGCAGCAGGAAGGAGAAUGAGAAUCCAGCAAAGGGGGAAGCCCCUAUUAAAACCAUCAGAUCUUGUAAAACUUACUAUCAUGAGAACAGAAUGGGGAAAACCACCCCCAUGAUUUAAUUAUCUCCACCUGGUCCCUCCCACAAUAUGUAGGGAUUAUGGGAACUACACUUCAAGAUGAGAUUUGGGUGAAGACAGCCAAACCAUAUCAGUCUCAGAUGGAAAUAAGGAAUUUAUUGGGAACUGGAGUAGAGGUCACCCAUGUUACACCCUAGCAAAGAACUUGGCUGUAUUAUGUUCAUGUCAUAGGGAUCUGUGGAAGUUUGAAGUUAAGAGUGAUAACUUAGGGUAUGAAGUGAAUGACAUUUCUAAGCAGCAAUUGUUUAAGAUAUGGCCUGGCUGCUUUUAACAGCCUAUGAUCAGAUGUGGGAGCAAAAUUACUUAAAGUUGGAACUUAUAUUUAAAAGGGAAACAGAGUGUGAAAGUUUGAAAAUUUUGCAGCCUGGACAUAUGGCAGAGAAAGAAUCCAAGCAGAUUGUGGAGCAAGCACUUGCUAGAGAGAUCAGCAUAGAUAAAAGGGAGUCAAGUGCUAAUAUCCAAAACAAUGGGGAAAAAAGACCUUGAAGGCAUUUCAGGAAUCUCUGAGACAGCCUCUCCUACCACAGGUUCAGAGGCCUAGGAAGAAAGAAUGGUUUCGUGGGCCAGUCCCAGAGUACUGCUGCCCUGUGCAGCUUUGUGACAGUGCUCCCUGCUUCCUGGGUGCUCCAGCUCCAGCCUUGGCUCAAAGGACCCCAAGUACUGCUCAUGCUGUUGCUCUGGAGAGUGCAAGCUGCCAUAAGCCUUGGUGGCCUCCAUGUUUUGUUAAGUCUGUGAGCAUAUGGAUUGCAAGAGUGAAGGAGACUUGGCAGCUUCCCCCUAGAUUUCAGGGGAUAUAUGAGAAAGUCUGGGUGCCUAGGCAGAAGCCUGCUGCAGAGGUGGAGCCCUCAUGGAGAACCUCUACUAGGGUAGUGAGGAGGGUAAAUGUAGGGUUGGAACCCCUACACAGAGUCGCUACCAGGGCACUGCCCACCAGAUACCAAAAUGAUAGAUCCAUCAGCAGCUUGCACCCUGCUUCUGGAAAAGCCACAGACACUCAACUGCAACCUGUGGGAGCAGCUGUGAGGGCUGUACCUUGCAAAGCCACAGGGGCAGAGCUGCCCAAGACCUUGGGAGCCAAUCUUUUGCAUCAGUAUGGGCUGGAUAUGGGACAUGGAGUCAAAGGAGAUUAUUUUGGAGCUUUAAGAGUUGAUGACUCCUCUGCUGAGUUUCAGACUUGUUUGGGAACUAUUACCCCUUUCUUUUGGCCAAUUUCUCCCUUUUGGAAUGGUAAUGUUUACCCAAUGCCUGUACUACCAUUGUAUCUUGGGAUUAGAUAACCCGCUUUGAUUUUACAGGGUCAUAGGUGGAAGGAGAUGAGUCUCAGUUGAGAUUUCGAACUUUGGGUUUGAUGCUGGAAUGAGUUAAGAGUUUUGGGCACUAUUGGGAGCAGAUGAUUAUAUUUUGCAAUGUGAGAAGGAUAUUAGAUUUGAGGGGCCGGAGUGGAAAGAUACAGCUUUCAUAUUUGUCCCAAUCACAUCUCAUAUUGAAAUUUAAUUGCCAAUGUUGUAGGUGGGGCCUGGUGGGAAGUGUUUGGGUCAUGAGUGCAGAUCUUUCAUGAAUAACUUGGUGCUUUCCUUGAGACAGUGAGUUCUCAUGAAAUCUGGUUGUUUAAAGAGUGUGACACUUCUCCUUCUUUCUUGCUCUCACUCUCACCAAUAAUAUGUCUGCUUCUGCUUUACAUUCUGCCAUGAUUGUAAAGGUUCUGAGGCUUUCGCCAGAAGCAGAUGCUGGAGCCAUGCUGGGACACUCUGCAGAACUCUGAGCCAAGUGAACCUCUUUUGUUUAUAAAUUACCUAGUCUCAGGUAUUUCUUUAUAGCAAUGUAAGAACAGCCUAACACAGAUGCCUUUUAUUUCGUUCUUUUGCCUGGUUGCUCUGGCUGUGACAUCUAAUACUAUGUUAAAUAAAAGUGGUGGAAGUUGGCAUCCUUGUCUUACUUAAGUUCUUAGGUGAAUUGCUUUCAACUUUUCCACAUUCAGUAUGAUGCUGGCUGUGGUUUGGCAUGAAGGGGUGGGUUGCCCCUCCACACCUGUGGGUGUUUCUCAUUAGGUGGAACGGGAGACUUGGAAAAGAAAAAGACACAGAGACAAAGUAUAGAGAAAGAAAUAAGGAGACCCAGGGGACCAGCGUUCAGCAUACGGAGGAUCCCGCCAGCCUCUGAGUUCCCUUAGUAUUUAUUGAUAAUUCUUGGGUGUUUCUCGGAGAGGGGGAUUUGUCAAGGGUCAUAGGAUAAUAGUGGAGAGAAGGUCAGCAGAUAAACACGUGAACAAAGGUCUCUGCAUCAUAGACAAGGUAAAGAAUUAAGUGCUGUGCUUUAGAUAUGCAUACACAUAAACAUCUCAAUGCCUUACAGAGCAGUAUUGCUGCUGCAUGUCCCACCUCCAUCCCUAAGGCAGUUUCCCCCUAUCUCAGUAGAUGGAACAUACAAUCGGGUUUUAUACCGAGACAUUCCAUUGCCCAGGGAGGGGCAGGAGACAGAUGCCUUCCUCUUGUCUCAACUGCAAAGAGGCAUUCCUUCCUCUUAUACUAAUCCUCCUCAGCACAGACCAUUUACGGGUGUCGGGCUGGGGGUCGGUCAGGUCUUUCCCUUCACACGAGGCCAUAUUUCAGACUGUCACAUGGGGAGAAACCUUGGACAAUACCUGGCUUUCCUAGGCAGCGGUCCCUGCGG